rnacentral:lncRNA from 1 species
UUUUUUGCAAGCAUACUUUCCCCUGGGGGCUUAUGUAACACAGAAACCAAAGGUAAAUGCGAUGGAAAGCUAGCUACUUCCAUUUUAUCACCUGUCUGGUAUUGAUUCAGAAAGUUACAGGCUAAAUUAAGUGGUAUCCCUGGAACAGGGCUUGACUCAAACUAUUGCCAUAUUGGAGGGCUCUCUGUAAUACAAGAGCAUAUCUGAUUCCUUAGAAUCUGCUAAUUUUUAAAAUUCUUCUCUCUUCUACUUUUCUCCCCAAAGUGCUUUUAGAACAUCAGCCUUCAUUUGGGUGAAGGAAAAUUAAAUUCAAAUACAUUCAGAAAAAUUUCACAUUGAUAGUGCACAUCCUUCUCUUCCCACAACUUCCUUUCUUUCGCACCCUAAUAUCUCACUUUGUCAUAAAUUUCCAAUGAAGUUUUGGGGAUGCACUUAUUUGGAAAUUCUUGAUCUUUCCUUCCUCACUACUCACUCAAUAACUAUAUGCGAUUAUGCCACUUCAUACCCUAUCCUCUGGAUUAUGCAGUCAUGAGACCUUCCAACUCCCAGGCCUAAUUCUUAAUAUUUUAUGUACUUUUUGUUUUUGCACUUGCAUCUGAUUUCUUGAGACUUUGAAAACAAUUUUUUCCAAUUAGGAGUAGAAGGGGCCUGGACAAGAGUUUAUUGAUUUCCCGGUGCUUGUUUUAUUUAUGUUAUCUCACUUAUACUCAGAGUUUAAACCUGCCAAAAGAUGAUAACCAGAAAUGCCCUGUAUUUCUUAUAACAUAUACUUAAACUAGUGUUAUAGCAGGGAGAGGGGUUGAUCUCAGAAAAUGAAGUGGCUGCUUAUUCUCUUUUAUCUUGGCAGUUGUGAAGUGGGUCCUGCAAAACAUACACCGUCUGGCUCAUGCAUUUUGCCAGAUGGUUUCCAUGCUCUCCUUCCCAACAGGGGUGGGGAUACAUGGGGUAGGGAACUGGAGUGCAGGAAAAGUGACUCCUUUACUUAUCACAGUGCUGCUUGGAAAGAAAACAAAACAAAACAAAUAAGCAUGCACCAUUGGUGGUGAUUUAAAUGAGACAUUCGUGAAUAUUUUGCUUCUCAAAAUUGUGGUUCCCUUGAAGUAUUUUUGGAUGUUAGUAUGACACAUGCUUAGAUGGGACCUCUCAUGUUUUUGACCCACAGGGCUACAGAAUCAGGACAUAACCGUAGCCAUGUUACUGGUGAAAGAAAAAGGAAAGAAAAUAGCUCAUUUUAAUGUAAUGUUGAAGUCCUUGAAACUUGAGGUUGGAGCAGCUGAAGUGGGGGACUGAAGCCUUUUGGCCAAUCCUAUGAACUAAAUCCCAAAUAUCCCCAAAUCUCCAUUAUCCGAUCUACAAAGCCUAUCCCUCAUCUGUAUUUCCACCAUGGAAUGUGAUUUUAAUCAGAACAGGACAUGCAGUGGUGUGGUGAAUGACAGUUGCACCAUGUAUGCACUCUUCCAGAGUUCAGGAUGAGAACUCGUGCUUCCCAAGGAUAAGUUCCAUCAAGUUCUGCAGCCUCCCCUCUACCUUAAUGGAAACGAGGGUAGGGUAGAGAAAGGGGAUAAGCAUUACGGCUCUCUCGGGCAGUCAAGCUCCACCAAGUGAUUUCUGGCAACCAAUUUGAUAUUAUUUGAAAAGCAUCAAAUAUUUGAAGAGCAUUUGGUUAUUAUUUGAUUAUGCUUUUAGGGACCCACACUUAUUGAAAAGUUUGUUGGUGGUGGACAUUCAGUAUGAGUUUAAAUUAUUUAUCAUCAUACAGACACACAUAUAUGUGCACCCAUAAAUUCACUCACUCAACAUGAGCAUCCUGAGGAUUUGAUAAGAGUGAAAAGCCAAAUAAAUAAAUAAAUAAAUAAGCAUGAGACUCAAUGGUAGAGAACUGAUGAUUUCCUACUAAAAUGGACAACCUAAGGCAGUUUCUCCCCUUGAUUUUACUGUUGCAAGAGGUAUGACAAUUGACUCAUAAGUAAAAUAUUUUUUUAAAAUUAGUAAAUACUAAUUUCUGCUUCUGGAAAGACAGAGUAGAUGUACUUUUUCUUAUUCCUCCUGUUGGAAUCCCUAACAUUAUGUAUAUAACAAACAGAAGAAGACUGUGAUAGAAUAAUUAGAAAGUAAGCAAGGAUAAAGAAGAACUCAACAGUACCAUCAACCAACACAUUUCUUAUAGAACAUUCCAUUCAAUAACAACCAAAUACACAUUCUUUUCAAGCAUCUUGGAACAUAUAUCAAGAUAGUUUAUAUCUUGUGACUUAAAUGAAUCUUAAUAAAUUUAUUUUUAAAAAAUUAUUUAUUUAUUUAUUCAUGAGAGACACACACAGAGAGACAAAGAAAGGCAGAGACACAGGCAGAGGGAGAAGCAGGCUCCAUGCAGGGAGCCCAACGCGGGACUCAUCCUGGGUCUCCAGGAUCACGCCCUGGGCGGAAGGUGGCGCUAAACUGCUGAGCCAUCCAGGCUGCCUGAAUGGUAAUAAAUUUAAAGGAUUAAAAUGAUACAAUGUGUGUUUGCCCGUCACAAUGCAAUCAAAUUAAAAUCAGUAUCAGACAGGUAACAAGAAAUAUCCAAACAUAUUGAAACUAAAUAGCCCAGUUCUAAAUAACUUUUGGAUCAUGAAGAAGACUUGAAGGAAAUAAAAAAAAUAUUGAACUGAAUAAAAAUUAAUAUACCAUAUAUCAAAAUUUGUUGGCCACAGAUAAAGUAGUUUAGAGAUGGAAAUUUAUAGCACUAAGUGGAUACAUUAGAGGAAAAGUCUCAAAUCAAUAAUCUAGCUUCUCACCUUGAGAACAUAGGAAUAGCGGAACAAAAUAAAUCCAAAGUAAGCAAAAGGGGGAAAAAAGGUAAAGCAUGGAAAACAUUGAAAUAAAAUCAGAAAGAUAACAGAGCUUUAAAAAACAAUCAGUAAAAGUGCCAGAUGUCUAGCAAGACUGAUAAAAAAAAAAAGAGUACACAAAUAACCAAUAUUAGAAAUAAAAUAGGGGACAUCACUACAAACUGUGCAGAUAUCAAAAGGGAAGUAAGAAAAUACUACCAAUGAUGUUACACACAAUGUAUUUGACCACCUUCCUCAAAAAAGCAUCAACUAGCACAAUUCACCCACAUGAAAUAGUUUGAAUAGCCCUAUACCUAUGAAGGAAAUGAAUGCAUAAUUUUAAAACUCACAGAAGAGAAACCUCUAGGCCAAGAGAAUUUCACUGCAGAAAUUUGGAACCCUGAUAUCAAAAUCAAAUAUGAAAAAAAAAAAAGAAUACCAAUUCUACAAAGUCUCUUCCAAAAAAUAGGAGAAAAAAACUCCCCAAUUCUUUUCACAGAGAUAGUGCUAUCAUUAUACCAAAAUUGGACAAAAGAUAGUUAAUAAAGAGAAAACUGCAAACCAAUAUCCCUCCUGAAUAUAGAUAUAAAAAAUCCUUAAUAAAAUAUUAGCAAAUGGAAUUCAGCAAUAUAUAAAGAGAAUUAUACACCAAGACUAAGCAGAGUUCAUUCCAGGGAUGCCAACCUGAUUCAAUAUUUGAAAAUCAAUUAAUGGAAUCUAACAUAUUAGCAUACAGAGAAGAAAAAAUGAUAUUACCUACUGAUGUAGAAAAACCAUUUGUCAAUCAUUUUUGAUAGAAACUCUUACAAAAACAGGAAUAGAGGAAACUUCAUUACUUGACAAAGAGGAUUACAAAAAAUGUGCAGCAUACAUUAUACUUUUUUCUUUCUUUUUUUAAAAUUUAAAUUCAGGCAGUUAACAAACAGUAUAUUAUUAGUUUCAGGGUAGAGAUUAGUGAUUCACCAGUUGCGUAUAACACCCAGUGCUCAUUAUUACAUCAAGCACCAUCCUUAAUGCCCUUUACCCAAUUAUCCCAUCCUCCCACCCACAUUAUGCUUAAUCUUUAAAGACUAAAUACUUUCCUCCAAAGGUCAGUAGCAAGGCUAAGACGUCUUCUCCCCAUUCUUCUUCAGCAUGGAGCUGGAAAUUUUAGUCAGUUCAUUAAGGCAAGAAAGGGAAAUAUAAAACACGCAGAUCAAAAUGGAAGAAAUAAAAGUGUCCUAUUUGCAGAUGACAUGAUUAGCUACAUAGAAAACUCUGAAGAAUCUACAAAACCACCUAGAACCACUGAGCUCAGCAAGGUUGCAGAAUAUAAGAGAAAAAUAUAAAAAUUGGGGCACCUGGAUGACUCGGUUAAGCAUUUGCCUUUUGCUUAGGUCAUGAUCCAGGUCCUGGGAUCGAAACCCACAUUGGGUUCCCUAUCUCUGUUGCUCUCUCCGUCUCUCUCUCAAAUAAUUAAAUGAAAUCUUUAAAAAGAUUUUUAAAAAUAUAAAUAAUAUUUGUAUGAACAGAGGGGAACCAAAAUUAAGAAUACAUUUGUAAUUGCUAAAAAACAAACAAAAAAACAUCUAAAACUUUCAAAUACUUAGAUGCAGGUCGAACAAAACACUUAAAGAACUUUAUGCUGACAACUGCAUAACAUUAAUGAAAGAAUUUCAAGGAAGAUCUAAAUAAAUAGAGAGACAUAC